GGCAAACCUUGGUUACAGGAAGGUGAACAGUAGACGGAGACUUCCUUUCCCAACAAUAUUGGCAGAGUGAAUAUCCUGAAAAACUAUCCUGCUGCAAAGCUCCUAAGACUAUGAGUAUGUGGUAGCAGAGAAUACAGUGACAACUGGAAUGGUUUGGUGCCACCAUCUUGAUUCAUCUUAAGGCACCAAAAAUUUUACCCACUACUGUCUUUGUACCAUCGGAGCAAGCGUCAACACGAUGAAAAAGCAAUUUGGCCAGAAAUUAUCCAGGAUCCAUUUUUCUUUGUGUAUUUCCAGUUCAAAAUAGUAGGAUGGAAAGAAGUAGAAAUAAAUUUUCUCCAGGCUUCUCGAAGCUUCCUUAUGGGGUUUAGAGUGGAGAGGCAAAAUCGGCAACAGAUAUUGAUUCAUUUAUUGAGAAAAUACUUACUGAGUGCCAUUUCAAUUCAACGUCACCACUUCCAUAUGGAAAGGAACUAUCCCUCUGGAAUGUUCCCUCAGUUGGUAGAGGUCAGCAGUGCAAGGAGCCGUGCACAUAUGUUUCUACAAGCUACAGAAAAAGGCUAUGCCAUGGAUCCCACAUCUCUUUUCACUCAUUCCAAGAGUUUGCACACAGUGAAAACCAAUUUCUUUGCCCCAGUGCAAAGAACGGUGGUUUCUCCACAACUGAAGUUGGACAUUAAUCUGAUCCAUCAGGUCAUUGUCAAAGAGGAGCUGAAGGCCCCUUUGUAAUUUCUGCGUUAAUGUUGCUCUCCUGGCAAGCAGACAACCGCAUGAGAGAAGUCAGCCAAGGAGAGUCUUUAAAUGGAAGUUGUGCAUACGAGGAGCAAAUGCAUUAAAAAGUUGCUGACGGGCAUGAAACGCUUUGAUCUGAAGAUGGAAACUCCAAAGCAGGAAGGAUUUGGGGCAUUUUGAGUCUGAUUGACUCUGUGGUUUCCCUGCACAAUUAUUCCAUGGGCUAAAAUAAAUGCAGAAAUGGUAUUUUGAGACUACAGCUGUGGAGGGGAGUGUGGUGAAUUUCAAUGAAAAUCCAGUUGAAUCUUGAAGUUCAGAUCUUAAAAAAGCAAGGGACAUGAGAGAAGGAAUAUUGUUUCCUGAAAUUUCUCUGUUUUUAUUUAAGAGA
rnacentral:lncRNA from 1 species